GACGAACGCUGGCGGCGUGCAUAACACAUGCAGGUCGAACGAGAAUCUUCUUUACAGAUCCUUAGGGUGAAGAAAAGAAGAGGACAGUGGCGGAUGGGUGAGUAACGCGUAAGGAACCUGCCUUUCACAACGGGAUAGCAGUUGGAAACGACUAUUAAUACCGUAUGACACUACAAUAUCGCAUGAUAUGGUGGUUAAAGAUUUAUCGGUGAGAGAUGGCCUUGCGUCUGAUUAGCUAGUUGGUAGGGUAACGGCCUACCAAGGCGACGAUCAGUAGCCGGCUUGAGAGAGUGAACGGCCACAUUGGGACUGAGACACGGCCCAAACUCCUACGGGAGGCAGCAGUGGGGAAUUUUGCACAAUGGAGGGAACUCUGAUGCAGCGACGCCGCGUGAACGAAGAAGGUCUUCGGAUUGUAAAGUUCUGUCCUUGGUGAAGAUAAUGACGGUAUCAAGGA
rnacentral:rRNA from 1 species